rnacentral:tRNA from 1 species
GAGUAAGUGGCGUAGAUAGCGUAUAUGAUUUCGGGUCAUAAGGGGCAUUUUGCCUUACUCU